rnacentral:tRNA from 1 species
GGUUCCAUGGUGUAAUAGUUAGCACUCUGGACAGCGAAUCAAGCGAUCUGAGUUCAAAUCUCGGUGGAACCU